rnacentral:rRNA from 1 species
GACGAACGCUGGCGGCGUGCCUAACACAUGCAAGUCGAACGAAGUGGCGAACGGGUGAGUAACGCGUAAUCAACUUGCCCUUCAGAGGGGGACAACAGUUGGAAACGACUGCUAUUACCCCAUACUUAAGGAGGGGUAUGUGUCUGAUUAGCUCGUUGGAGGGGCAACGGCUCACCAAGGCGAUGAUCUGUAGCCGGUCGGAAGGGAGGAACGGCCACAUUGGGACUGAGACACGGCCCAGACUCCUACGGGAGGCAGCAGUGGGGAAUCUUCCGCAAUGGACGAAAGUCUGACGGAGCAACGCCGCGUGAGUGAUGACGGCCUUCGGGUUGUAAAGCUCUGUUAAUCGGGACGCGGUACCGGAAUAGAAAGCCACGGCUAACUACGUGCCAGCAGCCGCGGUAAUAC